rnacentral:lncRNA from 1 species
GUUCUCCCAAGUGGCAUCUUCUGUUGGUAGGUUCACCCACUAUAUUAGCACUUUAGUAGUGGGUCGUCGUCGUCGAGUCACGAUCCGUUGAUCAAUAAUGGUACUUAGCUGGGUCUAGAGUUCUCCUUGGAUAGUCAUAUUUGGCGGGUGGCUUUGGGCUGUCUCCAAGCACCUAUUUACAACUUCUGUCUGGCCAUCG